rnacentral:rRNA from 1 species
GAUUAUGGCUCAGGAUGAACGCUAGCGACAGGCUUAACACAUGCAAGUCGAGGGGCAGCGCGGGGGUAGCAAUACUCCUGGCGGCGACCGGCGCACUGGUGAGUAACACGUAUGCGACCUGCCCCGGACAGGGGGAUAAACCCGGGAAACUGGGCCUAAUACCCCAUAUGCCUCUGGGACGCAUGUCCCUGAGGUGAAAGAUCCGUCGGUCCGGGAUGGGCAUGCGGCGCAUUAGCUUGUUGGCGGGGCAACGGCCCACCAAGGCGACGAUGCGUAGGGGUUCUGAGAGGAAGGUCCCCCACACUGGUACUGAGACACGGACCAGACUCCUACGGGAGGCAGCAGUGAGGAAUAUUGGUCAAUGGACGGUAGUCUGAACCAGCCCAAGUCGCGUGCGGGAUGAAGGCCCUCCGGGUCGUAAACCGCUUUAGCCGGGGAGUAACGUGGGGGACGCGUCCCCCAGUGAGAGUACCCGGAGAAUAAGCAUCGGCUAACUCCGUGCCAGCAGCCGC